CUCACCAUGGACAAGCAGAAGCCAGGACUAGGCUUUGGCCCUCCAGAGCCCUGAGCUAGGCUGACAGGAAAUGGCCUACCAUUGGUGAGUGAACAGGAAAACUGCGCUCACGGAUCACUUCUCACAUCAGAAACCAACCUCCUCAGCAAGAGCUAUUUAAAUGUGAUGCCGUGAAAUGGAAGCAGUAUAAAGAAAGAAGACUUCGGGAAAGGAAAUUAAUGUGAGAUUUACAUCAUAAUGGAGGAGGAAAUACCUAUUGAACUAUAAAUUUGGCCCACAACAACUCACUCAUUGAUUUUCAUUCCUUCAUUUAGUCAAUCAAAUGUACUUUCUGGGUAUGUAUAACUCACCUCUCCAUCUUUAAGAGGCUUGCAAUAAAAAGAACUUGCAGCGAGAAGUAAGGUGAUGGUAUUUUAAAACUGUGCUGCAGGGAACACGAUGGUCGCAAGAGGAGAACCUCAGAAAACUGAGUGAAGGGGAAUUGUCUCAAAGGUUGGCAGUUUAGAUAUUUGUUACUUCAGGGCAACACAGCCUUCCUUCCUCAUUUCCCUCAGAAUGAACAAAACCAAGGGUACAAGCCAAACAAACUUGCAUCUCUCCACUUUUUAUCCACAACCGUGUCUUGCGGGGGAAACCACCCUAGGUCCAUGGAACUGUCUGGUGACCAGACUGUUAUGUUUUGGCAAGGUCUGUGAUCAAAGCACGGGUCCGUUUCCGUGCAGCCCUGCCGCAGCUGACAGUUCCCAGUGUGAAUAGUAAAGGAGGCUCAUCUUGCUUCUGUAAGGAACAGUGCCAUGGAGUACCGAUAAACACAGAAAACGAUGAAGAUGUUGAUUUUAAUUAAAUGAAUGCCUCCAUGCUUUUUCCUGAUUCUUUUCUUUCUUGAUUCUUUAUUUAAGAUAAAGCCUUUGUUUAAUGUGAUUUCCCAACAGAAGACUUCAGGUGAAACUAUAGUUUUUACAUAGCUAAGACCCAAAAGAAGCCCUUUCUCAGACAGGCUUUGCUAAAGGUGAGCUCUGUGCACCUGGUUGUUCUGCAUUUAUUAUAACCUGCAGAAGACAGUGGAGCCUGGAACUCAGAGAAACAGGAGCAAGGGAAAGACUUCAGCUUAUUAUGCACUGAUUUAAGCAUAAUUAUGCUCACUGAGGAGAGAGGAAAGCACAUUUGAUUUCUAGUACAAGUAUGUAGAUCCUGCUCAUGAAAAGCUUCAAACCAUUUUUCACUAAACCCACCUACUGAAUCUUGAUCUCCAGCAUUUCAGGGUAUUACGCCCUUUGCAGGCAGAUUCUUCACUAAGGUGACUCGGUUCACAGGAGGUGUUUAUGAUGGGCACAAGCACACUCUGGCUGGUGUCCUUCCAGGGAGGAAAGUUUGGAGGCAACGUGCACAGAGGGAGAAGACCACUGAAGAUGAAGGCAGAGCGGAGCUGACUCCAGAGAUUUCCAGAAAAACUGAACCUAACAGAGAAGCCCGGGUCCAUUUUCCUCCCAACCCUCCGGAGGAGUCAAGCAGCCAACCCUACACCUCCUCUGUGCUUCACAAUGCAGACAAGGAAUUACCGUGGCACUUCUGGUGCCGUGGUAACACCCACCACCCUAGCAGAUUCGCACACUGGGUCUUUUAAUGCUCUUCAAAAUACUGCAUACUGCUCUGUGGCUCCUGGUAUUAGUAAUGAUAACAAUGGCUAGUUUUGCUUUUUGUUUUGAGCACUUCACAUAUCCCAAGCUUUGAUUGAUCAACUUUGACUCAAUAGGAUGAAUGGAGAAUGAAGGAAAGAUUUCUUAUUUGGGAAUAAUAAUUAUAUGAUUUUAUUAACAUUAAUAAUUAAUGUUAAGUAUAUUUUAUGAAGUCACUGAGGAUUUUGGAAUGACUUUAAAGGAGCUAAUAUUAUUUAUCGUAAUAGAGAAAGUAUUACCUCCAGGUACGUUACUGCUCCGACAAAAUCCAAAUCUAUUAAGCUUUAGGGUUGAUGGAACGCAACACCAAACUGCUGCUUAGGGCAUGGCAAGUUUGCUGAAAACCACUAUCCACUGUGGCCUAGAA